rnacentral:rRNA from 1 species
UACAGAGGGGGCAAGCGUUAUUCGGAAUUAUUGGGCGUAAAGGGCGCGUAGGCGGCGAUUCAAGUGACGGGUGAAAUCCCUCGGCUUAACCGAGGAACUGCCUGUCAGACUGGAUUGCUUGAGGCCGGGAGAGGCGAGUGGAAUUCCCAGUGUAGCGGUGGAAUGCGCAGAUAUCAGGAGGAACACCAAUAGCGAAGGCAGCUCGCUGGGACGGUACUGACGCUGAGGCGCGAAAGCGUGGGGAGCAAACGGG